rnacentral:misc_RNA from 1 species
GAAAUGCGAUAAUUAAUGUGAAUUGCAGAAUUCAGUGAAUCAUCGAGUCUUUGAACGCACAUUGCGCCCCCUGGUAUUCCGGGGGGCAUGCCUGUCCGAGCGUCAUUGCUGCCCUCAAGCACGGCUUGUGUGUUGGGCUUCCGUCCCUGGCAACGGGGACGGGCCCAAAAGGCAGUGGCGGCACCAUGUCUGGUCCUCGAGCGUAUGGGGCUUUGUCACCCGCUCCCGUAGGUCCAGCUGGCAGCUAGCCCCGCAACCAAUCUUUUUAACCAGGUUGACCUCGGAUCAGGUAGGGAUACCCGCUGAACUUAAGC